rnacentral:rRNA from 1 species
UACGUAGGGCGCAAGCGUUGUCCGGAAUUAUUGGGCGUAAAGAGCUCGUAGGCGGCCUGUUACGUCUGCUGUGAAAUCCCGGGGCUUAACCCCGGGCGUGCAGUGGAUACGGGCAGGCUGGAGGCAGGCAGGGGAGAACGGAAUUCCCGGUGUAGCGGUGAAAUGCGCAGAUAUCGGGAGGAACACCGGUGGCGAAGGCGGUUCUCUGGGCAGAUACUGACGCUGAGACGCGAAAGCGUGGGUAGCAAACAGG